rnacentral:lncRNA from 1 species
UUUGUGCAUAUCUUUCUUUCUUCAACCUUUUCUUUUCCUUUUUUGCUCUAUUCUUGCUUAUUUUCUUGUCUUUUUUAUCUUCCUCCACCACAUUCUUCUUCUCAUUGUCACUAUCAUCAUUUUCCUCUUCCUUAUCAUCAUCAUCUUCACCAUCACUACCACUGUUGUCACUCUCACCAUCAUUAUCCUCACUACUAUCAUCAUCCUCACCAUCUUCCUCCCCUCCACUCUCUUCCACAUCACUUCCUUCUUCUUCCAUCACUUCUUCCUCAACAUCACUUUCAGUGUCACUCAUAUUCAAAGCAAAUUGAAAGGUAAUUAUAAAAGUUUGUCUUUAUUGUUAACAGACUACAAUAUGUAGUUCAAGAUUGUCAUCUUUACUUUAUAUUUGAAGAUCAUGGGGAAUAACGAUAUAUGAUUCCAUUUGCAUGAGCAUCGGCAUUCUAAUAUUGUCAAUAAUUAAAGUGGGAAAAUUACCAAUACAAGCUAGUCAUACUCAUAAUUAAUGGGCGUCAAAACAAAAUUCCGAUGAGAUUAUCAUGUAUGUGCUGCAUACUUUUUUAUUCACAAUAAUUGCAUGAUAUAAGUAAUUGUACUUUCUAAACAAUAAUAAAGAAAGAUGAUAAAAAAUGCUUGAAACCCACACACAUAAUAGUAAACAUGAGAAUGAUUUAAUAAAAAAGAGAUUGUUAAAAUUUAGUAGCGGUAAUAAAUUAUAGUUUGAUAUACAUUAUUUAUUUUAUAAACAAGGAAAAUAUUACACUAUAUAAUAUAUUUUUUACUCAAACUUAAGCAAACUUGUAUAAUCAAUUUUUACCACCCCCAAGUGUUAUUACACUAGUAGGACCCCUUUGUUAUGGAAUAAUUAAUAUUGCAUAACUUCUUCUAGAGAUAAUUACUUUGGAGGUGUAAUGUCCCAUUUUUACAACUUAGAAAUUAGGACUUCAUUAUAAAAAUAUGAUAAAAAUUUAAAUAAAAUUAAAGGCAUUCUGUGAGAAAAUCGGAGUGAAUUUAAAACUUCUUUUCAUUAAUAUGUUUAAGAUGUGGAAAUAUUCAAUAUUAUCAUUACCCAAAAACGAGUUAUCACAUUGAACCUCAAAACCAUGAUUUAUAUAAUUAUCUAUUUGUUUAAGUAUGUAGCUUUACAAUGUCAUUAAAUUAAUCUUAACAUAAUGAUUAUAAAAGACAUCCUGUAUGCCAAAAGAAUCACUCUUAAAAGUAUUUUUCAUAAAAUAUAACUUAUAUAAAAAUUAGUUCAAAAGACCAAUAGUAUUCCUAAAUCAGAGCCAAUAAUCUCAAUAUAAACAACAUACUUAACUAUUUGUACUGAAUAUCUUUUCCUGUAAACAAACCAUUUAAAUAAAAAUGACAUUGCACAAUGCACAUUGUGAGCAUUGUUUGAACUUAAACAAUGAGACUGUAUCCUUAUUAUCCAUUUGUGUCCAAGCUGUUUUUAUUCACUCGCUGAUCUUCAACCUUUUCAUUCUUAUCAAUACUGAACUUGCAACCAUGAGUCCAUGACCUCGACGUUUGUCAGGGUUAUCUUGAUCUUCAAGCCUUGGGCUGGUAGUUCGAAUUCUCAGCACGGCUUGUCACCAGACUUGAUAGGCUUUGCUGGAUUCUGUGGAAGAGUCACUUGAACGCUAGCGGUCUCUUCUAGUGACUGAACCAUAAAACAUCAGUGAUUUAUUGAUAUACGUUACAUGGUUCCUUUGUUUAGCCUAAUAUCAUGCGUGCCAUGUAUAGGUUCCUUGUAAAGAAAGUAUUGUAAUAGUAAUAUAAAAAUUGACGAAUCACAUAGAAUCGGGUACCACAUAUGUAACUAUGCUUUGUAUCUUGCUGUUAACAUCAUACUUCAUCGAACUAUGAAAGUAUAUGAAUCGGCCCCUCUUUAUUCGCAGACUCGGAGCCUACAUGCAUUGUGGCUCCUCUGUUGUCACCAGCCAAGGUUAGCUGUAUUUGGUGCACAGUGGCUAGUUUAUGAGCAAACUUUGAUAUCAUCUCUGAUACUUUUUGCAGUGCAGAGUUUUCCUCGUUGUAUGAAACAGGUUUUUCAUAUCAUAUACUUGAUACAUUCCUAGUUCCUGGAUCUGCUGAACUAACAACUCUUAUGUCAUUCUCACUGGGAUGCAAAGGGGC